rnacentral:rRNA from 1 species
CGAUAACGUGUGUAAAAGUUGUUGCCGUUAAAAGCUCGUGGCUGUAUUUCUGCCAAGGACGACCGGCCAGCUGGGUGGGCAUCUGGAUCGGCCUGGGCAUAUUCUUGGGGAACGUUCCUGCACUUGACUGUGUGAUGCGGCAUCCAGGAAUUUCGCUUUGAAGCAAAUUGCACUGUUUCAAGCAGGCGCACGCACUGAAUACAUCGGCAUGGAACCAUAGGAUGGGACCUGUGUCUUAUUUUGUUGGAUUCUAGAACUGGGGCAAUGAACAAUAAGGAUAGUUGUGGGCCUUCGUAUUUAACUGCCAGAAGUGGACUCAUGCAUUUGUUAAAGACGGAUUACUGCGAAACAUUUGCCAAGGAUGUUUUCCUUCAUGGGGAACGGAAAGUUAAGGGAUUGAAGACGAUCAGAUACCGU